CCGAAACCCGGUGAUCUAGCCAUGGGCAGGUUGAAGGUUGGGUAACACUAACUGGAGGACCGAACCGACUAAUGUUGAAAAAUUAGCGGAUGACCUGUGGCUGGGGGUGAAAGGCCAAUCAAACCGGGAGAUAGCUGGUUCUCCCCGAAAGCUAUUUAGGUAGCGCCUCGUGAAUUCAUCUCCGGGGGUAGAGCACUGUUUCGGCUAGGGGGCCAUCCCGGCUUACCAACCCGAUGCAAACUGCGAAUACCGGAGAAUGUUAUCACGGGAGACACACGGCGGGUGCUAACGUCCGUCGUGAAGAGGGAAACAACCCAGACCGCCAGCUAAGGUCCCAAAGUCAUGGUUAAGUGGGAAACGAUGUGGGAAGGCCCAGACAGCCAGGAUGUUGGCUUAGAAGCAGCCAUCAUUUAAAGAAAGCGUAAUAGCUCACUGGUCGAGUCGGCCUGCGCGGAAGAUGUAACGGGGCUAAACCAUGCACCGAAGCUGCGGCAGCGACACUGUGUGUUGUUGGGUAGGGGAGCGUUCUGUAAGCCUGUGAAGGUGUGUCGUGAGGCAUGCUGGAGGUAUCAGAAGUGCGAAUGCUGACAUAAGUAACGAUAAAGCGGGUGAAAAGCCCGCUCGCCGGAAGACCAAGGGUUCCUGUCCAACGUUAAUCGGGGCAGGGUGAGUCGACCCCUAAGGCGAGGCCGAAAGGCGUAGUCGAUGGGAAACGGGUUAAUAUUCCCGUACUUGGUGUUACUGCGAAGGGGGGACGGAGAAGGCUAUGUUGGCCGGGCGACGGUUGUCCCGGUUUAAGCGUGUAGGUGUGUGUUCCAGGUAAAUCCGGUUCACUUUAACACUGAGGCGUGACGACGAGGCACUACGGUGCUGAAGCAACAAAUGCCCUGCUUCCAGGAAAAGCCUCUAAGCAUCAGGUAACAUCAAAUCGUACCCCAAACCGACACAGGUGGUCAGGUAGAGAAUACCAAGGCGCUUGAGAGAACUCGGGUGAAGGAACUAGGCAAAAUGGUGCCGUAACUUCGGGAGAAGGCACGCUGACACGUAGGUGAAGUGAUUUACUCAUGGAGCUGAAGUCAGUCGAAGAUACCAGCUGGCUGCAACUGUUUAUUAAAAACACAGCACUGUGCAAACACGAAAGUGGACGUAUACGGUGUGACGCCUGCCCGGUGCCGGAAGGUUAAUUGAUGGGGUCAGCGCAAGCGAAGCUCCUGAUCGAAGCCCCGGUAAACGGCGGCCGUAACUAUAACGGUCCUAAGGUAGCGAAAUUCCUUGUCGGGUAAGUUCCGACCUGCACGAAUGGCGUAAUGAUGGCCAGGCUGUCUCCACCCGAGACUCAGUGAAAUUGAACUCGCUGUGAAGAUGCAGUGUACCCGCGGCAAGACGGAAAGACCCCGUGAACCUUUACUAUAGCUUGACACUGAACAUUGAGCCUUGAUGUGUAGGAUAGGUGGGAGGCUUUGAAGUGUGGACGCCAGUCUGCAUGGAGCCGACCUUGAAAUACCACCCUUUAAUGUUUGAUGUUCUAACGUGGACCCGUUACCCGGGUUGCGGACAGUGUCUGGUGGGUAGUUUGACUGGGGCGGUCUCCUCCUAAAGAGUAACGGAGGAGCACGAAGGUUGGCUAAUCCUGGUCGGACAUCAGGAGGUUAGUGCAAUGGCAUAAGCCAGCUUGACUGCGAGCGUGACGGCGCGAGCAGGUGCGAAAGCAGGUCAUAGUGAUCCGGUGGUUCUGAAUGGAAGGGCCAUCGCUCAACGGAUAAAAGGUACUCCGGGGAUAACAGGCUGAUACCGCCCAAGAGUUCAUAUCGACGGCGGUGUUUGGCACCUCGAUGUCGGCUCAUCACAUCCUGGGGCUGAAGUAGGUCCCAAGGGUAUGGCUGUUCGCCAUUUAAAGUGGUACGCGAGCUGGGUUUAGAACGUCGUGAGACAGUUCGGUCCCUAUCUGCCGUGGGCGCUGGAGAACUGAGGGGGGCUGCUCCUAGUACGAGAGGACCGGAGUGGACGCAUCACUGGUGUUCGGGUUGUCAUGCCAAUGGCACUGCCCGGUAGCUAAAUGCGGAAGAGAUAAGUGCUGAAAGCAUCUAAGCACGAAACUUGCCCCGA
rnacentral:rRNA from 1 species